GGGGAACACUUAGAUCCCCAUGGCCGUAGUGUUAAUAGUCAUGUCUCUGGCCGGGCAUGGCGGUUAGUGAAUC
ncrna:unclassified sequences L13-Bacteroidia ribosomal protein leader